rnacentral:lncRNA from 1 species
AUAAAUACCAAAUGUCAUUGACGAAAAAUUAAAUUAAAUCAGUGUCUUUGAAGGAAAGGAAUACAAUUUACAACGAUCCUCUAUUAUUUUUACAGUAUUAUUUACUUGUCGGAAAUAUAAAUUUUAACAAUAUGAAGGUAAGUUGAACAAAAUAAUUUUAACUGAUUUGUAGAAAAUCUUUUAAAUUAAAAUAUUAGAAGUAUUUAAAAAAAAAAAAAAUAAGACAACUUUUUCAACAAAAAAAGCCACCACUUUUUCCUUUUUUUAAUGAAAAUUAAAGGUUUACAUUAGUAACACCAAUUUUUCAUUACAAAUGUAAUAUUAUUUUCAACUUUACUAUUUUUUUCCAGAACGUCAAACAGUUUACACCCAAAAAGCCAUCAUCAACACAGCAAGUUGCCAAGAAGCACCUGAAACGUCAUGUCAAACGUCUGAGAGACCGAGAGUAUUCAAGACUCCGUCAAAUGGUACCGUCAAUUGCCGAAAAGGAAAAGGUGUCAAAGGUAAGAUACGAGUGAACUUUUUUUUUGAUUUUUUGCGGUUAACUGAGAAUUGUUUUGACUAUUGCUGAUUUUUCGCUUGAAGCUUGUGGUUCUUUUUCAAAGUUUAUAUUGUUGUUGCUUCGAGCACCAUCUAAAGCGACAUACAUUGGCGAAAUGUAGUGCAGCAAUAUUGGUACUGAUAAUGUAAUGAAUUUCUUGAACAGCUUAAUCUGUUAGUUGUUUUCAUGUAAUAUGCCAAAAAAACAUAACAUUUUGAUUCGAAAUGGGGUAAAAACCCGUUAUUUGUUCCGGUAUUGAAAUAAAAACAGAGUAAAAUAGCAUAAAGGAACACACCUGAACUGUUAUAAAAAUGUUUAAUCUUAACAGGUGUAGUGUAACUCGUAUGACAAAUUUGUUGACUAAUUUGAUGUUAUCGUAACAGGUGAUUUUAAUUACAUUUUUGACAUAUUAGAAAACAACCUAUGAUUAACCUAAUUAUUUACACCUGUCAUUUCAUUUUCCAGGUAACUGUAAUUGAAGAGGCUGUAAAGUACAUUGACGAACUCCACCAGGCGUUGAUGGAAAGAAUGCAAACUAAAGGUAAAUAUUUUUUUUUAUAAAGUACGAUGUUAUUAUAUGUUUGACGUCAAUUAUUUCAAAGCGUACCUUGUUCUUUACAGUUCUACGUCAAAUACUACAAAACAUUUUUAAGUAUACAUCUUUCAUAAUUUUGAUGUCAAAGAUCAAUUUAGAAACAUUUUUUAAUAAUGUAAAAUGUGCAAUGUCUUGCUUGCAAGCACUGGACAACGUUAAACUGAUCAACAUUUUACAAUUGAACAUGUUUUCAAAAAAUUUAAAUUAUUAUUUUUUUAACAGCUCAACUUUUUUUUAAAUGUAUCUUCUUAUAUCAACACUUGUAUUCUUGAAAAAUAAUACAUUUUUUCUGGUUUGAAUUGAACUUGCAAAAAAUCUUCAUGACUAUAUAGAUUUCUAUUUUGUUUUCAGGUUUUCCAAAUUCAGAGGGCGUACAAACUCACAAUAUACAAGAUUUUAUCCACACGAUGUUUCCCGCCAAUUUUUUACGACGUGAACCAGCACCGUCACCAGUGUUAUAUGAAAAACAACAGAAAGUACCGUCCUUCCUGUUACGACUCAACAAAGACAGGAAACACUUGUAGUUAAUGGUAUGUAUCUUUUAUUUUUCAAGUACGAUUUUAUUAUGGUAUAAAUGUGCUUAAAUCCAAAUUGCCUUGUCGGGUUUAUGCAGUGUGGGUUUUGGUCAAUCUUGUUCAAGGUCGUACGGCGGUCUAAAGAUUCUUACUAUAUUAUUUGGACUCUGGUCGAUUUUUGUCUAAUUCGCAAUCCUACCACAUAUAUCAAUUUAUUAUGGAAGAGGCUACUUCAACUUAUUUUAUGGAGAAUCAUUCAUAGGCAUUUCAACUGACGAGCCUGUAAAUGAAUAGUGAUUAUUUUUUCUAUCGUUUUAACGCUAAGCAGACCGUAAAGCGGACAUUCAAACCUUCCAAAUCUAUCUGACAUACAUGUAUGCUAGAUCCAUAAAUCUAGACAAUGUCGACUUCAUCGUAUGCAUACUUACUUAAAUUUAUAAUAAAUGACGCAAAAAAGGAUUUUGUGCGACACGUAACUUGUUAACUUUGUUACAAUAUGUGCAAAUAUUUAAAUUUUGUUUUCUGUUUACAGGAAAACUAUGAGAUACCUUGUGAUAAAAGCGUCACUGUGAUGAAAACAGGCAAUGUGAUAUGGCUCCAAUGAAUGUUUUAAGUAAUGCAGAUACCGAAAGAUGAAAGCAAUUUCGAUGAAAAUGACAGGAACUUGUCAAUAUUUCGGUAAGUUGAAAUCUAAUGUUUUAAAUUAUAAUGGAUAAUUUAUGUUUUAACAAGACUGAACAAUAUAAGCGUUAAACUAUAGCGGCACAUAUUGAUGUAAACCAGAUGACAUCAAAAAAUUUCAGCCGAGGCAAAAUUGUCCCUGAGCGAACAGAGAUGGAAAACAGACACCUGUGCAAUGCUGUCAAAAUAUGUUUGUCUAAUUUAUCAAAGUAACCAUGUCAAAUAUUUCGAAUAUGUUAUCCCUUAUAAAGUAAAUGCCUUUUUCAUUAGUCGAGUUGUUAUGUUGUCACAAUCAAAUUUAUAUUUAUCGACAUUUUAUUUUUCAGAUGUUAAUUUCAACGAUAUGGAACUUUUCAAGUGAAUGAACAUUUUUUGCCAGAUGAAAUAAUUUAUUGGACAUUUCAAGUUUAAAACUUUGUGGAAUAUAUUCUAAUGGAUUGUAUGACUUGAACACUCGUUGUCUUAAAUGUGAAUGAUCAAGGACCGUUGCAGACAAUUCAACAUUUGGUUACUUGGUUGGAUUAAAAGACCAUGUGACAAACAUUACAUUGGAGACUUAGAUUUAUGGUGAAUUAAUGUACUUUGUGCCAAAUUAUUUACACGAAUUUUAUUAUAUAUAAAACAUAUGAAUUUAUAUUGUUACAUUACAUUUUUAUAUCACAUCGAC